rnacentral:rRNA from 1 species
AGCCCAGAGCCUGAAUCAGUGUGUGUGUUAGUGGAAGCGUCUGGAAAGGCGCGCGAUACAGGGUGACAGCCCCGUACACAAAAAUGCACAUGCUGUGAGCUCGAUGAGUAGGGCGGGACACGUGGUAUCCUGUCUGAAUAUGGGGGGACCAUCCUCCAAGGCUAAAUACUCCUGACUGACCGAUAGUGAACCAGUACCGUGAGGGAAAGGCGAAAAGAACCCCGGCGAGGGGAGUGAAAAAGAACCUGAAACCGUGUACGUACAAGCAGUGGGAGCCUCUUUAUGGGGUGACUGCGUACCUUUUGUAUAAUGGGUCAGCGACUUAUAUUCUGUAGCAAGGUUAACCGAAUAGGGGAGCCGAAGGGAAACCGAGUCUUAACUGGGCGUUAAGUUGCAGGGUAUAGACCCGAAACCCGGUGAUCUAGCCAUGGGCAGGUUGAAGGUUGGGUAACACUAACUGGAGGACCGAACCGACUAAUGUUGAAAAAUUAGCGGAUGACUUGUGGCUGGGGGUGAAAGGCCAAUCAAACCGGGAGAUAGCUGGUUCUCCCCGAAAGCUAUUUAGGUAGCGCCUCGUGAA